rnacentral:rRNA from 1 species
AGCAUAUUAUUUGAAUUAUUUUAUAGGUGACUAUUAAUUAAAAUAAUAUUAGUGGAUAUGUUUUAGUAGAGUUUAUUGAAUUUAUGAAAAGAAUAAUAGGGGAAUAGUACUGUGAAGGAAGAAUGAAAUAGAUGAAAUAGUUAUUAGAAUGGAAGAAGAAUGUAGUUUGUACCUUGGGUAUCAGGGUUUAUUAAUUAAGGGUAAGGAUUUUAUAAUUCUCGAAUUAAAAAGAGUUAAAGUGGUAUUGUAGUUAAUGUGUUAUUAUUAUUAGUUAUAUUACUUUAGAAAUGAAAUGUUAAACGUUUUUUAAGUUAUCUGGUUUCUCAAGAAAUGAAUUUAAUUCAUGUUAUUUUUAGGUAAGUAUUUGAUUAUUAUCAAUAAUUUAUUUUUAAUAGCAAAUAUAUGGAGGGAUAAGCUUUUGUAUGGAUAUUAUAAAUUAUGGAAAUUUACAAAGAGUAGUAGGCUUUAAAUUAGCCAUCAAUGAAAUAAUGUUAUAAGUUGUUUUGUUACUAGAUUAUUUUUUAAUAGUUUUAAUUUGUUUAUUGGGAUAUUAUAUUGAAUGGAUUAAUAUAAGUAAUGAUGAUAAAAUGAGUAUAUAGAAUUGUUUAUUUUUAUUUUUUUUUGAAUUUAUAGUAAGGAACUAGGCAAAUUAUCACUCGCUUGUUUAUCAAAAACAUCUCCUUUUGUUUAUAUUUAAGGUAGGGCCUGCCCACUGAAAGUUAUUUGAAGGGCCGCGGUAUUAUGACCGUGCAAAGGUAGCAUAAUCAUUAGUCUUUUAAUUGAAGGCUGGAAUGAAUGGUUUGACGAGGUGAUGACUGUCUCAUUAUAAUAUAUAGAAGUUAACUUUUAAGUUAAAAGGCUUAAAUUUUAGUGGAGGACGAGAAGACCCUAUAGAGCUUUAUAUAUAGGUUUAGAUUUGUGUUUAGGAGUUUACAAGAAUCUAGGUUGAUUAUAUUGUGUUGGGGUGACAUAAAGAUAAAAUUAACUCUUUAUUUAAGAAACAUUGAUGUAUGGGUUUGUUGAUCCAUUUUUAAUGAUCAUAAGAUUAAGUUACCUUAGGGAUAACAGCGUAAUUUUUCUUGAGAGUUCAUAUCAACAGAGAAGAUUGCGACCUCGAUGUUGGAUUAAGGAAUAUAAUUAGAUGCAGCAGUUUAGUUAAUAGGUCUGUUCGACCUUUAAAUCCUUACAUGAUCUGAGUUCAGACCGGUGUAAGCCAGGUCGGUUUCUAUCCUCAUUAUUUUGUUAUAUCUUAGUACGAAAGGACCAGGUAUUUUAAAUAUUUUAUUUUUAUUUGAUUGUUAUUA